CCGAUGAGGUGGAAACGGACAGAGCUGGCGUAUCUGGCCUGCAUUCAGCCGCCGCGCGCCGGGCCCCGGUUUGCCGCACUCCAGAUUGGGAAGGUGGCUGGGCUGCUGGCGUGUCGGUGGUGCAUUUGCAGGUGGAGUGCGCCGAGGCGCUCGGCUCAGCGGCAUGAGCUCGGCUUUGAGGCCAGCCGCGCAAGCGGUCUGGUACCCGGGUCGGGGGAGUGUUGUUUGGGCUGAGUGUUCGCUUGGGCACCGGUUUCGGGCCCGGGUGGGUGCCGAGCUGGCGGUGGACGGCGGUCGCGUGCGACACGUGUCUUCAGUCAGUUCGGUCCUGCUCGAGCUCUCGCGUGUCCGGCCUCGGUGUAAAAGCCGGUCAUCUGUCCGACCCGUCUUGAAACACGGACCAAGGAGUUUAGCGUGUGCGCGAGUCAUUGGGCGUUGAAAACCCAAAGGCGCAAUGAAAGUGAAGGUCUGCCUUGUGCAGCUGAUGUGUGAUCCUGGGCGCCGCGGUGCCCGGGCGCAACAUAGUCCCGUCCCGACUGCAUGCAGUGGGGCGGAGACAGAGCGUACGCGCUGAG
rnacentral:rRNA from 1 species